UACUAAUGUUUGAUAUAAAUGUCAACCUCACAAUACCAGCCUUAAUAAUUGGUACCUGCUACACCUGUAUUGUUAUUACAAUAUGGAAACGAGGAAGAAGUACAUAUCUUGAAGAGGGCACAGCAACUUCUCGACGCGUAACAAAUAUCAAGAAUGAUCGUUCAAAAAAGUUACGAUGUUCAAAAGUAAUAGCAAAGGCAAAGAUUAAGACUAUAAAACUCUUGUUUGUGGUUGUAACAGUAUAUAUUGUGUGUUGGACACCUGUAUGCGUUGGUGCCUCUUUGCUUGUUUGGGGCAAAAUUGAGUACGGCACAACAUACAAACUCUUGUUUGUUCUGGCACCAUUGAAUAGUUUGGUGAACCCGUUGGUGUUUUUAUUAUUUAAUCGCAAGAUGUUUAAGGAAAAUGUGAAAACACUUAAGAAAAUAUAUAUCAUUGGUACAUUUACAGCUUCAUUUUACACACAUCUUUCAUCUAAAAGUUCAACGAGACUAUCCGGAAAUUGAGAUACCCUGGACCAAUAUUCAAAAUAUUGUUUGCAACAAAGAUUUGUGUGUGUUAGCUCUAUAAAAAACAUUCACUUAUUGGUAUAAACUAUAGUUUACACAUUGUGUACCUAAAGCAUUAACUGGCUAUACAAUGCAUUUGUUGUAUCGUUAUACAGUAGUUUCGUUAUACAGUACAAAUGUAAACUGGUUUAUAAAAUACAAAUGUCAACUCGUUAUACAGUACAAAUGUUAACUGGCUAUACAUAAUACAAAUGUUAAUUCUCUAUACAGUACAAAUGUUAACUGGUUAUACAUAAUACAAAUGUUAAUUCUCUAUACAGUACAAAUGUUAACUGGCUACACAAUACAAAUGUUAAUUCUCUAUACAGUACAAAUGUUAACUGGCUACACAAUACAAAUGUUAAUUCUCUAUACAGUACAAAUGUUAAAUGGCUAUGCAAUACAAAUGUUAAUUCGCUAUACAGUACAAAUGUUAAAUGGCUAUGCAAUACAAAUGUUAAUUCGCUAUACAGUACAAAUGUUAACUGGCUAUGCAAUACAAAUAUUUAACUGGCAAUUAUGUUUUGAACAAUAUUUUUACUGAUGUCAAUUAAUUGUACUUAUUACUUAUAUUACUUAUUUGCAUAUAGUUUACUCACAUAAGAACAAUUCUAAUUUCGAAUUUAAUGAAAUUUUUGUAUUACUUAUAUGUGAUUUUAUAUGACAUUAUUGGCAAUUUGAAUGAAUUAAUGCACAUGUUAUUACUAUUUAGAUAUGAGAUAUAUAAGCUUUCACUGUCAGUAACUUUUUUUAUCAUGUGUAUUGCAUUAACAAAUUUGUAUCUUAAUGGCAUUUCUGAAAUAAAAUGUUUUCAC